rnacentral:lncRNA from 1 species
UACCAGAAAUAAAUCUCAAUGAGCUUCCUGAGGUUCCUGUCACUGACCUCACUGAGGCUCCUGUCACUGAGCUCACUGAGGUUCCUGUCACUGACCUCACUGAGGCUCCUGUCACUGAGCUUCCUGAGGUUCCUGUCACUGAGCUCACUGAGAUUCCAGUCACUGAGCUCACUGAGCUUCCUGAGAAGGUCCCAUCCUCUCUCUUUUAUGUCCUUAUGGGACACUUUCUCCAAUAUAUAUAUAUGAUUUGAGGACAUAACCUUUUCUAUUUCUUCU